GGUUGUGUGUAUACCCCCUCAACACACACACACACACUAGGUUGUGUGUAUACCCCCUCAACACACACACACACACCCUCUAGGUUGUGUGUAUACCCCUUCCACACACACAAAACACACACACACACACUCUAGGUUGUGUGUAUACCCCUUCCACACACACAAAACACACACACACACACUCUAGGUUGUGUGUAUACCCCCUCAACACACACACACACACACACACACACUCUAGGUUGUGUGUAUACCCCUUUCCACACACACAAAACACACACACACACACUCUAGGUUGUGUGUAUACCCCCUCAACACACACACACACACACCCUCUAGAUUGUGUGCGUAUUAUACACACAAAAAUAUGUUAAUAGACGAAAUACGUCAUUUACUUUUUCUUUCCUUUAAAAGUGUUGUUUUUGGGGGGUUUUUCUACCCGAAAUUCAUUUGGACUAAAAUCUGAAACAUGAAAUUAAAGUGGUCUGGCCUGUUUAGAAAAUGCUACGAUGGUUCUGAGACUAUUUACCUCACAUGACUUCCAUCAUCAUGUAUUUAAAGUUUGAAUAUGCAUUAUUUCACAGCUGUUGAGUUGGUAUAUCGAGGCAAUAUGUUGUGUGUUCCACAUUUGGGGUUGAUAAUUUUGAUACUAAGAUCUUUAUUUGCAUCACCCAAUCUUGUUCAAGAUAAGUUUAAACUUUGAGAUACACAGGAUGGUAAGACAUAUGUCAAUUGCUCAGAAACUAAAAUUGGAAGCGAAAGUUUCUAGAUUUACAAAUUCCAAGUUAGUUAGAAUUAGAACAUGUGUUGGAAAUGUCCUUUUCUGAGCAUAGCUCUAGGCACAGUUGAUAUUCAAGAUGGAACUUGUUUGUAAAUUAAUCUUGGACGCAACGUUAAACCCCAUUUCACCUCACCUUGUUUGUAAAUUCCACGGAAAUACUUGGAAUUCCGCGGAAAUCCUCGGAACUGCAGAUGUGUAUAACUGAUUGAGGAAAGGAGCAUUGCAGAAAUUAUGACAUGAAGACAAAGUCUGCAGAAAUCAAUAGAAUGGCAUGAAAUUCUUAUUUCUAAAUAAUAAUUAUUUUUGUGUGAAUAAAAUAAUAUGGUCAUGACAAAUGGAAAAAUGAUAUUUAACGUGCAUGCUUGGUAUGAAUUAAAACUUUUGUAAAGAUGAGUAACAUGUAUCUGUAAUAUGGUUCUUCUAACUGAAGGUUGAUUGAACCAAAUUAAGUCCCUUGAAAAUUGUCCUUGAAUCAAAACAAGACAAGACAUGGUGUUCUGUGUGUGUAUAUUGAUAAUAUGUGAGUAUAUUGCUAUAAAAUGUGUACCAACUGCUAGGGCUGGGACGAGUCCACAUUCACUAUACGGGUACCUGACCCCCAGUUACCCGUUCCUACCCGCUGUAGGUGUCAGGAGUAGAGUACAGAAUGUCCAAUUGGGAUUUGUUUUAUUGACUCCUGGCAAAAAUGAUUAAGAUACAUGUUUAAAACGAUCUACGUUGAUGCCUAGGUCGAUGCUCAUGAUGUCAAUCACUGGAUUGUCUGGUCCAGAUUCGAUUUUUUACAGACAGCGUCCUAUAUCUGGAAUACUGCUGAGUGUGGCGUUAAACCACAAAGAAAGAAACAAACAACACUGACGUUGACGCUUUAUAUAUUUCCGUUGAAGUAUAAAAGUCAACAUGCAUAGUCAAAACAAUAUCGAUUUCUUGUAUGACUAUGGAACUUUAUUGUUAUUGUCAUUAAACAAUGUGUCACGUGACUAGCCACGGAUUCGGGUUGUCCUGUGGGUACCCGUGUCUACUCAGGACCCACCCGAUCCGAGUACUCGAGCUACCCGUCCCAGCCCUACCAACUACGGACGAUAAGUUGAAUUUUUGAAUGUUUAUUCAUCGAGUGCUGCCAACAGUUACCAUGGUUACUGUAUGGAACGAAUGUCGUCUCUGUUUUAAUGUGCCAUAUGAAUGUUCUCUUGGACUUGUUGAUUGGUUUAGCUGAUACAGAUAGGACAUUUUUAAAUACAUGUAGAACUAUCUUAGGGAGAUGAUAUUUUGCAAUCAAGUUUUUAUCAACGAAUCUCAGUGACGUGUUAUAUGUUUGUGUUACUAAGGGGUUAAAAUUGUGGUGUCAAAACGAUUGGUCGAUAUUCAUCUUUCACGAUUUCUCACAUCCUCUAUGUCCAUCUCGCAUUUCGGUGAACCUACGCUAACCCAAGGAUCCAUUCCCUUGGUUCUUGCGAUCUUAAAUGACCCGCCCUUGAUUUUCAUUACAUUUUACCGAUCAAUCAAAAGUUGAGACAAGGAAAAAGAAAAUGGGUAAGGGAGGUAACUCAUAUUGCCUAGAAACCAAAUCCGCUGACAGUUUUACUGGACAUGAAGACAUCCUUUCCUUCAAAAGGAUUUUUUGUAGGUCUUUUAUUUUUUGCGCGUGUUGGUCAGUUUUUCAAUGUUAAAUUUCUCGCCAUCUCGAUCGUAACCAAUGGUACUUGCACCAUGUUAUUGAUAUCACCAACCCAACAUUGAGACUGGUUUGCAACUUACAUUCUGAUUGGUCUGAUAGACUGGGUAGCUUAGCCAAUCAAACCGGCAAAUGAAAAUCAAGGGCAGAUAAUUUGAGAUCGCAUGAACCACAGGAUUUAAGGGUUUCGUGCAGUUUUACCGAAAUGCGAGCCUUUGGAGAUAUGGAGGAUGGAUGUUUUCCUUGGUGAGAGGAAUGGAUGGAAUGACAUGAUUCUACGUGGAUGCCGAGUGCCUCACCUCGGGCGACUGGUGUUUGAUUGUCAGUUUACAGGUUCCAAAUCCAAAGCAACAAUCACAAAUAUUUCAUAUUUUUUUUAAAUUCCCCUGAAUGCCCAUAUCUUCAUAGGAAAAGAUUUAAUGAAAAAGUAACUUAUCUUUUUAAAUAUUAAUUGAUCAGAUGCAUUGUAUACUACUCGGAAGCCAUCUUCCUGAGGCAAGGGAGUUAACUGACUAUAAAGUCCAGUUUCCACCCUUGCCAAACUAGGCUGGUAAUAUGGAGUUAUAUUUUGGCUGGCGUAACGAGUCUGUGCAUGGUCCAAUCAAAAUCGUGCAAUGAAAUGAAAAUCCGGUACGUAAACUUCAUGCAAAUUUCGGUCAAUUGCAGGAUUUGCAAAGCAUGUGCACUUGCCAUCUCGUUGUCAACAGAUAUUUUCCAAAUCUUUUCAGGUUUUUAAUCAAGGUGCAAAUGUAAUUGAUGCACUUAUCGAUGUAAGACCCGUUUUAUCACGAUAUAGAUCUUGAUUAUGGACCAGAUCUUCUUGACUGGUUGCUGCCAUUUUGUUUGAAGCAAAUGCAAGUUAUACGAGAGGUGGAAUCUGAUUGGUCAAUAGGAGAGGCAUAGAAGGGACAUAACUCGUAAUAACCACUGGUGGCAAUACAAUUGAGCCCAGGAAUUCCAGCCUAGUUCUGCAAGAGUGGAAACUGGACUUUUAAAGUCAGUUAACUCCCUUGCCUCAGGAAGAUGCUCAGAAGCAUGGACACUUAAUACUCUAUAUUAAACCCAACUCACUCACUCACUCACUCACUCACUAUGUUUAGGGUCCCUGUUGGAAGUUUAAGAACACCUGAUUCUGUCCUAUCACUUUAGUUCGUCAGCUGUCCUUAACUUCUUCUUUUGAGUAGAAUAUGGGUUGACCAUUCAAAAGUACCAAAGGUUUAUAUUAAAUAUUUGUUUUACCUUGCCUUAUGUAUCUAUCAAACCCUGUAAUUUCUUUGGGGACUGGUCAGGGGGAAACAUUUUUUAAGGAAUAGGGAUUUAUGAAUAAAUGUUACAUAAAAUUGGGGUGGGGUGUGGGUCGGCAAAGUAGGAUAGCUCUAAGAGCAAUCCCCACCCCUACCCCAUAAUGGACCAGUCCCUCAACUGCCAUUAAGCAUAAUAGGUAUUAGGAAAAUAAUGUCAUGACCAGAAAAUAAACAAAAAUAAUUUUUUAAAUGAUUGUACAGAAAAAUACUGUAUAUUUUUGUCGUCUAACCAUAAUUGUAUUCGAUAACUUCUCCUGUUUACUAUAUCUAAAUCUGGAGCCAAUAAGGCACAGCAAUUCCCUGUUCAGAGUUGUGUCCCUUGGGCACACGAGAACCUGAGGUUCGCCCCAAUUCGUCAGCUCCUCUCACUUUCCCCCCACAUUAACCUGACACACCAUGAUAUAACUGAUAUAUUGUUCUAAGCGGCAUUGAAUCUUUUGUAACACCUUGUGUUGUUUCUAGGGGGAGUCCACGUUAAAAAGGUUAACAGGACUCUGUGCUUGGUCGUACGAGGCAACUUAUGGAUCUGGUGGUCAGGCUUUGUGAGUUGGUUGAUUGAAUUCAAAUUCGAACGAAGCGUGUUUUAUUUAACCUUGAAGCAGACGCCCAAUUUUUAACCCCCGAAUCAUACUGUUUAUCACCAUGAGGAUCAGAAGAGCUACCAGUAUUUGUCAAACUGCAUGCCUUGAGAUUAACGUAGUUCAAUCUUUGAUCUUUUGCUCAAACUUCCAAGGGUUUGAGAAUGUUUUGUAUAAUUCACAAAUGAUCAAAAUGGACAAUUUUGUCAUUUGUUUCUAUGGUUACUUGAGUGACAAUGGUGAUUCAUCUCAAUGGAGCUUGUUACUGAUGAAUAAAGGAAAGGGAAAGCUUGUGACCCAUUUCUUUUUUCGGCAUGUGUGCUUUACUUGUCUUAGCCUGUGCUUCAAAUGUGAAAUAAACAAAUUUACCAAUA